rnacentral:rRNA from 1 species
GUAACAAGGUGUCCGUGAGAGGAUGGGUGAGUAACGCGUAGGAACGUGUCCAGAGGUGGGGGACAACCCCGGGAAACUGGGGCUAAUACCGCAUAUGGGCUGAGGCCCAAAGCCGAGAGGCGCCUUAGGAGCGGCCUGCGUCCGAUUAGGUAGUUGGUGGGGUAAAGGCCUACCAAGCCUGCGAUCGGUAGCUGGUCUGAGAGGACGACCAGCCACACUGGGACUGAGACACGGCCCAGACUCCUACGGGAGGCAGCAGUGGGGAAUAUUGGACAAUGGGCGAAAGCCUGAUCCAGCAAUGCCGCGUGGGUGAAGAAGGUCUUCGGAUCGUAAAGCCCUUUCGACGGGGACGAUGAUGACGGUACCCGUAGAAGAAGCCCCGGCUAACUUCGUGCCAGCAGCCGCGGUAAUACGAAGGGGGCUAGCGUUGCUCGGAAUUACUGGGCGUAAAGGGCGCGUAGGCGGCGGCCCAAGUCAGGCGUGAAAUUCCUGGGCUCAAC